UUUGACAAACUUAUAAGAGGUCCAGCCUGCCCAGUGACUCUGUUCAACGGCCGCGGUAUCCUAACCGUGCGAAGGUAGCGUAAUCACUUGUUCUUUAAAUGAGGACUAGUAUGAAUGGCACCACGAAGGUUAUACUGUCUCCUUUUUCUAAUCAGUGAAACUAAUCUUCCCGUGAAGAAACGGGAAUAAAAAUAUAAGACGAGAAGACCCUAUGGAGCUUUAAACAAAUAUACACCUGCCUCUUUACCAAAAAUUUCAGAAGACAAGUAAUUACCCGGGCAUUUUGAUAUAGCGUUUUAGGUUGGGGUGACCGCGGAGCAAAAAAUAACCUCCGCAGCGAACGGGAGUAUUCCCUAAACCAAGGGCCACAACCCCAAGUAUUGAUAAAUCAACACCAAUUGACCCAAUAAAUUUGAUCAAUGAAC
rnacentral:rRNA from 1 species